rnacentral:rRNA from 1 species
GGAAUAGUGGUCAAUGGACAGAAGUCUGAACCAGCCAUGCCGCGUGAAGGAUGACGGUCCUCUGGAUUGUAAACUUCUUUUACAGGGGAAGAAAAAAGGUCUUUAUAGAUCACUUGACGGUACCCUGGGAAUAGGCACCGGCUCACUCCGUGCAAGCAGCCCCGGUAAUACGGAGGGUGCAAGCGUUAUCCGGAUUCACUGGGUUUAAAGGGUGCGUAGGUGGAUUGCCAAGUCCGUGGUGAAAUCUCCGAGCUUAACUCGGAAACUGCCGUGGAUACUGGUAGUCUUGAAUGUUCUGGAGGUCAGCGGAAUAUGUCAUGUAGCGGUGAAAUGCUUAGAUAUGACAUAGAACACCGAUUGCGAAGGCAGCUGACUACGGGAUUAUUGACACUGAGGCACGAAAGCGUGGGGAUCAAA